CAUCCACCCUAGACGUAGUACAUUGACAUGAUGGACAUGAUGGAGCAGCUGGUGUCUGAGUGGAAGUUUGAUCAGACCACAGCUACGUAACUUUUGCUCUUGAGAAGGAAGCAGCGCAGUAGUCCAGUGUGUAGCUGAGCAGACGUGUAAGAAAUCCAGGAGACGUUGUCGGCGCAUCAAGGAGGGACGAUGGUGGCACCAUCCAAUCAGGAAACGUUACAUCUCAAUUUCACAUUUCAGUGAUUGUUGCAGAUGUUUCUCUCUAACCCAUCCUCUCUCUCUCUCUUCUUUUACCAGAACGAUGCAUUUUGGGUAUCUGUGUGUGACUGGUUAGAGGAACUCCACUGAGGUG